AGCGAACGCUGGCGGCAGGCCUAACACAUGCAAGUCGAACGAACUCUUCGGAGUUAGUGGCGGACGGGUGAGUAACACGUGGGAACGUGCCUUUUGGUUCGGAAUAACUCAGGGAAACUUGUGCUAAUACCGAAUGUGCCCUUCGGGGGAAAGAUUUAUCGCCAUUAGAGCGGCCCGCGUCUGAUUAGCUAGUUGGUGAGGUAACGGCUCACCAAGGCGACGAUCAGUAGCUGGUCUGAGAGGAUGACCAGCCACACUGGGACUGAGACACGGCCCAGGCUCCUACGGGAGGGAGCAGUGGGGAAUCUUGCGCAAUGGGCGAAAGCCUGACGCAGCCAUGCCGCGUGAAUGAUGAAGGUCUUAGGAUUGUAAAAUUCUUUCACCGGGGACGAUAAUGACGGUACCCGGAGAAGAAGCCCCGGCUAACUUCGUG
rnacentral:rRNA from 1 species